GGAACUUAAAGUAAAAUCCGGCUGUUCUAACCUUCCUAGAGUUCCCCAAGUUCAGAAGAAAGGAUGGUCCUGCGACCCUCCCCGCCCACCGGGGAGCAAAAUAGUCCGGGACCCUCCUACCCCGCCUUAGAACUGAGCCACUGAGGUACAUAAAAGAAAACUUGAAAUCGUCGAAAGAUAUCAAGGUUGAAAAGUUCACAGUGUCCAAAGCAAUGAAAACAAUUUAUUUGAAAACUCACAACAAGACAUGGCAUCAAGAAAUUUCAUAUCAACUGUAUAUGCAGAUUGUAAACGCUUCCAGAAAAGAAAUAUAAUCAACUAUAAAAACUCAAGAAUCA
rnacentral:lncRNA from 1 species